GGAGGAUUACCCAAGUCUGGUUGAAGGGGACGGUCUUGAAAACCGUCAGACGUUUAAUAACGUGCAUGGGUUCGAAUCCCAUAUACUCCU
rnacentral:tRNA from 1 species